UACGGGGGGGGCAAGCGUUGUUCGGAAUUACUGGGCGUAAAGGGCUCGUAGGUGGCCAACUAAGUCGGACGUGAAAUCCCUCAGCUUAACUGGGGAACUGCGUCCGAUACUGGAUGGCUUGAGUUUGGGAGAGGGAUGCGGAAUUCCAGGUGUAGCGGUGAAAUGCGUAGAUAUCUGGAGGAACACCGGUGGCGAAGGCGGCAUCCUGGACCAACACUGACGCUGAGGAGCGAAAGCCAGGGGAGCAAACGGG
rnacentral:rRNA from 1 species